GACGAACCGUGCGAACGUUGUUCGGAAUCACUGGGCUUAAAGGGCGCGUAGGCGGACGACCAAGUCGGGGGUGAAAUCUUUCGGCUCAACCGGAAAAUAGCCUUCGAUACUGGCCGUCUAGAGGGAGGUAGGGGCGUGUGGAACUUCCGGUGGAGCGGUGAAAUGCGUUGAUAUGUGGAGGAAUACCGAUGGCGAAGGCAGCCCCCUGGGAUAACACUGACGCUCAUGCACGAAAGCGUGGGGAGCAAACAGG
rnacentral:rRNA from 1 species